AAGUCGUAACAAGGUUUCCGUAGGUGAACCUGCGGAAGGAUCAUUAUCGUGGGGAUUCGUCCCCAUCGAGAUAGCACCCUUUGUUUAUGAGCACCGUUUGUUUCCUCGGCGGGCAUGCCCGCCGCUAGGACCCCCAAUAAACCUUUGCAGUAGCAGUAUCGUCAGUUUAAAACAAAAUAUUAAAACUUUCAACAACGGAUCUCUUGGUUCUG
rnacentral:misc_RNA from 1 species